CUUCGCUGGCCACCUCGGCGAAGAAAGAGCUUGGGAAUCAACGACUUACUGCCCUAGUAAACGUCUCGUCUCCCGCUCCAAA
rfam:Burkholderia xenovorans LB400 chromosome 1, complete sequence.